AACGAACGCUGGCGGCAUGCCUAACACAUGCAAGUCGAACGAGAUCUUCGGGUCUAGUGGCGCACGGGUGCGUAACGCGUGGGAAUCUGCCCUUUGGUUCGGAAUAACAGUUGGAAACGACUGCUAAUACCGGAUGAUGACGAAAGUCCAAAGAUUUAUCGCCAGAGGAUGAGCCCGCGUAGGAUUAGCUAGUUGGUGUGAUAAAGGCGCACCAAGGCGACGAUCCUUAGCUGGUCUGAGAGGAUGAUCAGCCACACUGGGACUGAGACACGGCCCAGACUCCUCCGGGAGGAAGCAGUGGGGAAUAUUGUACAAUGGGCGAAAGCCUGAUCCAGCAAUGCCGCGUGAGUGAUGAAGGCCUUAGGGUUGUAAAGCUCUUUUACCCGGGAUGAUAAUGACAGUACCGGGAGAAUAAGCUCCGGCUAACUCCGUGCCAGCCGCCGCCGUAA
rnacentral:rRNA from 1 species